GCACUAGAAAGAGCAGCGGAUACACCGACCCAGCCAGAAAUGAGAGAUAGAUCAUCGAUCUAUGCAUAGAAAAGGGCAUCCCUUUUCUCUCUCUCUCUUUCUCUCUCUCGGAAUAGCUCUACAAGAUCCCAGCCCCUUCAGUGGCUGCUUUGGUGCUUCCUUUUGAUUUUGGUUGUGUGUGAAUUCGCAUAGAAAAUAUUUGAGCUUUCUAGGGGUUUUCACAUCAUGUUAGGUUCAUUGCCGAUACUGCCUCUCCCUGCUCCUCCUUCUGAUGGAAAUCUCGGUCCUCUACCUGAGUCUCAGCUCCCUCAGGACGAUAGGGAGGAUGAGAACAAGUCGAAUUCAGCUCCUGCUCCGCCGCCUGCAACGGUUGCUACCCAUACUAGAACUAUAGGAAUUAUACACCCCCCUCCUGACAUUAGAACCAUCGUUGAUAAAACUUCCCAGUUUGUUGCCAAGAAUGGUCCCGAAUUUGAGAAGAGGAUUAUUGCAAAUAACACUGGCAAUGUCAAGUUCAAUUUCCUCAACUCAUCGGAUCCCUAUCAUGCGUAUUAUCAACACCGUUUGGCUGAAUUUCGUGCUCAGAAUCAAUCUUCUGGUGCCCAACCACCUUUGCAGCCUCCUGACUCGUCUGUUCCUGAAUCUGCACCUUCUGCACCGGCCCCUGAUAGCAAUGGCACAGUGGCAGUUGAAAAGCCUGAUAUUUCUGCCCAGUUUAGACCUGUUAAGAAAGUGCUUGAACCCCCUGAAGCCGAGCAGUACACUGUUCGGCUUCCCGAAGGAAUUACAGGUGAAGAGCUGGAUAUCAUAAAGCUUACGGCACAGUUUGUGGCUCGAAAUGGGAAAUCUUUCUUGACAGGAUUAACUAGUAGGGAAGUUAAUAACCCACAGUUCCAUUUCUUGAAACCAACCCACAGCAUGUUUACGUUCUUUACAUCCCUUGCGGAUGCAUAUUCAAAGGUUUUGAUGCCUCCAAAGGGUUUGACAGAGAAGCUGAAGAAGAGUGUUCCUGACAUGACAACUGUCCUUGAGAGGUGUGUGAAUAGGCUAGAAUGGGAGCGUUCACAAGAGCAAGCCAGGCAAAAAGCCGAGGAUGAGAUAGAGCAGGAAAGGAUACAGAUGGCUAUGAUUGAUUGGCAUGACUUUGUGGUGGUUGAAACGAUAGACUUUGUUGAUGAUGAGGAUGAAGAGUUACCUCCUCCAAUGACCAUUGAAGAGGUUAUUAGGAGAAGCAAGGUGUCAGCCGCAGAAGAAGAUAUUGUAGAGCCAGGAAAGGAGGUAGAAAUGGAAAUGGACGAGGAGGAGGCACAGCUUGUUGCAGAGGGCUUGGGAAAAGCUAGUUUAGAAGACAAGGAUGAUGAGAGAAAUGAAGCCAUGGUUACUGAAGAACCUGAGCCACCGAUGAAAAUUGUGAAGAACUGGAAGAGACCAGAGGAGAGGAUUUCUGCAGAAAGAGAUCCAACCAAGUUUGUUGUUUCUCCUAUCACCGGUGAACUGAUUCCUAUUAGUGAAAUGUCAGAACAUAUGAGAAUUUCCCUUAUUGAUCCCAAGUACAAGGAACAGAAAGAAAGGAUGUUUGCCAAAAUUCGAGAGACAACUCUGGCUCAGGAUGAUGAAAUUUCAAGAAACAUUGUCGGACUUGCUAGAACCCGUCCUGAUAUCUUUGGUACAACAGAGGAAGAAGUUUCGAAUGCGGUCAAGGCAGAGAUUGAGAAGAAAAAUGACGAGCAACCUAAGCAAGUUAUAUGGGAUGGUCACACCGGUAGUAUUGGCCGCACUGCAAAUAUAGCCUUGUCUCAGAAUAUGGGUGGUGAGGAUCAAAAUGAUCCAUCUAAUAAUGAAGCCAAGAACCUUCCUGGUCCUGCUGCACCUCCUCCUAGGCCUGGUAUGCCUUCAAUUCGGCCUCUUCCACCACCAGCUGGAUUAGCAUUGAAUCAUCUUCCCCGUUUUCCUCCCAAUGUAGUCCAGUAUUCUGCUCCAAACAGUGGUGGACUUUCUGUUCCUCCGCCUAGGCCACCAGUAAUGUCCAUGAUGCAAUCUAAUCCUAACAUUCGGCCAGCCCCACCUCCUCCUAUGCCAAUGUCUUCUGGGCAGCAGUCGGUUAUGGCUGGUCAACCACCCCCAAUGCCUCCAUCAAUUCCUAUGAAUAGCCAAGGAAUUCCCAUACCUCCACCUCCAGGAUCUCAGUACACUCCUAUACCUGUUCCCCGACCUUUUGUUCCUUUCUCUGUCCCACCAUCAGGUAUGCCUAUGAUGCAUCCACCACCUAUGCCUCAAGGAGUGCCACCACCGCCACCACCACCUGAAGAAGCUCCUCCCCCACUUCCAGAGGAACCAGAGCCAAAGAGGCAGAAACUUGAUGAUUCUGCUCUGAUUCCUGAAGAUCAAUUUCUGGCUCAACAUCCGGGACCUCUCCGGAUCAGUGUGUCUGUUCCAAACCAUGAUGAAGGAAAUCUUAAAGGACAAGUUCUGGAAAUUACAGUGCAAUCUCUGUCUGAAACUGUUGGCAGUCUGAAGGAAAAGAUUGCAGGGGAGAUACAACUCCCUGCUAACAAGCAGAAAUUAAGCGGAAAGCCAGGCUUUCUCAAGGAUAAUAUGUCUCUUGCCCAUUACAAUGUCGGUGGAGGAGAAAUACUUACUCUCAGCUUAAGAGAGCGUGGUGGUAGAAAGAGAUGAGCAUACUAGUUGUUGUCAUUUCAAGAAGAUUUUGGCACCUUGGCGCAGGUCUCAAGGGGAAUGGGAAGUAGUGGAGUUCCUUUAUCUAACCUGCUCAAGCUAAACAUUUUGCAUCACUGAUUAUUGUUUACUCUUGCAUUUCAGUUUAUGUGGUUUUUUUGCAAGGUUACUGAUUUAUUUUUAUAUGAAGCUUCUUUGCGGUCGGGGACAGGAUUCAUUAGUGUUUAUUUCUGGUGUGUCCUAGUAUUCUAACACUUAUCAGCGUGAAGAUUUGUGUUUCUUGUUGUCCAUUACUAGUGUUUAGUUUUUGUCACCAUAUCUUACUUUGACUAGUGCCACCUUUGGCUAUAAUCAUGAGAGUAGUUUUGUGUCGUUUUAUAAUCUAGAUAAUUUCAUGCAGUAUUGGGAUGGUUGUUUUUUUUUUCUUUUUGAUUUGGGCGUUUUGUCAUAACAGAAAAUUCUACCUGGACUGUAGGAAGUGCUGUGCAGCUAGGCUGAUAUGUCUUAAUGGGUUCAGAAUGAAGAUGGUUUGAUAUUUUAUAGCAAGGCUCUCGUUCAUGUGUAAUCAAUCUUCCUGGCCUAUGAAUAUUCAGGAUUACUUGAUGCCAAAACUUGAUUAAGAUUUAUUUGGUAGUUAUGUUAGAAUAUAAUGAGUUCUUUAAAGGGUUAUAUAAACUUCUUUUACUGUGUCCAUUUAUUUCUCGUCCAUUGGAUCCGCUUGAAUCUUAUCUAAUGACCCGUUGAUUGGAGUCACAUUGGGGUUGCUAAGUGCUAAUAUUUCUGAUGGGUAGGCUUUUAUUGGUGUUAAUGGGUGGUGAUUAUUGGUAUUCCAAAUUAAGUACUAAUAUUAGGAGUUCUCCAUAGGUCUUCGUUAUAGUUUUUGUU